rnacentral:rRNA from 1 species
GACGAACGCUGGCGGCGUGCUUAACACAUGCAAGUCGAACGGAAAGUCCCUGCUUUUGUGGGGUUCUCGAGUGGCGAACGGGUGAGUAACACGUGAGUAACCUGCCCUUGACUUUGGGAUAACUUCAGGAAACUGGGGCUAAUACCGGAUAGGAGCUCCUGCUUCAUGGUGGGGGUUGGAAAGUUUCGGCGGUUGGGGAUGGACUCGCGGCUUAUCAGCUUGUUGGUGGGGUAGUGGCUUACCAAGGCUUUGACGGGUAGCCGGCCUGAGAGGGUGACCGGCCACAUUGGGACUGAGAUACGGCACAGACUCCUAUGGGAGGCAGCAGUGGAGAAUAUUGCACAAUGGGAGGAAGCCUGAUGCAGCACCGCCGCGUGCGGGAUGACGGCCUUCGGGUUGUAAUCCGCUUUCGCCUGUGACGAAGAGUGAGUGACGGUAAUGGGUAAAGAAGCACCGGCUAACUACGUG